CCUACGGGAGGCAGCAGUGGGGAUAUUGGACAAUGGGGGCAACCCUGAUCCAGCCAUGCCGCGUGUGUGAAGAAGGCCCUCGGGUUGUAAAGCACUUUCAGUGAGGAAGAACGCCUGGUGGUUAAUACCCAUCAGGAAAGACAUCACUCACAGAAGAAGCACCGGCUAACUCCGUGCCAGCAGCCGCGGUAAUACGGAGGGUGCGAGCGUUAAUCGGAAUUACUGGGCGUAAAGCGCGCGUAGGUGGCUUGAUAAGCCGGUUGUGAAAGCCCCGGGCUCAACCUGGGAACGGCAUCCGGAACUGUCAAGCUAGAGUGCAGGAGAGGAAGGUAGAAUUCCCGGUGUAGCGGUGAAAUGCGUAGAGAUCGGGAGGAAUACCAGUGGCGAAGGCGGCCUUCUGGACUGACACUGACACUGAGGUGCGAAAGCGUGGGUAGCAAACAGGAUUAGAUACCCCUGUAGUC
rnacentral:rRNA from 1 species